UAGUCGUCAUCUUUGAGAUCAGGUCUAAAUACUUAAUUCUUCCAUAAGAAUAACCUGAAAUUACUCCAAACAUUGGUGUCUACAAUUGGAGAUGAAAGUGAUAUAGAAAGCAAAAAUGAUAAAAGCGGUCCUAGUAAUGAAUACGCAGGGCAAACCUCGCCUUGCCAAAUUUUACGAUUUCCUGAGUGUAGAGAAGCAGCAGGAGCUUAUACGCAGCGUAUUUGGAGUUUUAUGCAGUAGAGCUGAGAAUGUUAGCAAUUUCAUGGAGGCAGAUUCCAUCUUUGGUCCGGAUAGUCGUCUUGUAUACAAACACUAUGCAACUCUGUACUUUGUUUUUGUAUAUGAUUCUUGUGAAAAUGAGCUUGCCGUGCUUGAUCUCAUACAAGUUUUUGUAGAAACACUGGACAAAUGCUUCAGAAAUGUGUGCGAGCUUGAUAUAGUGUUCAAUUACAGCAAGUUGCAUACAAUUUUAGAUGAGAUAAUAUUUGGAGGUCAGGUGCUCGAGACAAGUUCUACUGAAGUUAUGAAGGCCGUUGAAGAAAUAUCAAAGCUUGAAGCAUCCUCGUAUUCUAUGACAUUAGUUCCCAAAACUGUUGCCAGUUGGCGGAACCGGUAGGAUUGCCUUAAAAAGAGAUGUUAAAAUGGCCACAGAAGGCUAUGUCUCUCAGACCUGAAGCUUCUUACAAGUCCGACAUUUCUGUAUUAAGCAGGUUGCUAUAGUAUUAGUUCCCUGCCUUGAUAAAUAUUUCAAAGCAUUGUAUUGGGAAGAACCUUGAUAAAUACUUCAGGCAGCUACAUCAGAAGUGAUAUAAAUGUUUUUGGCCUUCAUGCUACAAUUUACAGUCGCAACCACCCUUCUUUAGUACAAGGAUAUAAGAGCACUGAAAUUAAUUCACAACUGAGACGAGGAAUAUUCAAUUGCAGAUGAGUUCUCUGUUUCUGUAUCAAAUGAAUUCUGCACUUUGAAAUGCAUAGAGUUUUGAUAUUGAAGGCUUUUCUUAAUGAACAGCUGUGAAUUUCUCUUGCUAGAAAAUUUUGUCAACUUUUUGAAAUUCGCUAGUCAUGUUUUAUGAUUUCAAUGCUUGUGAUAGCCGAGGUUUUUCCUUUCAAA